GGGCUUGUGGUUUAGUGGUAUAAUACUCCCUUAGCACCGUUAGAGGCAAGAUCCAGCUCUAAUAAUAGCCUGGGAGUGGUCCGGGGUUCGAUUCCCCGCGAGUCCA